AGAAUCAACGCUGGCGGCGUGCCUAACACAUGCAAGUCGAACGAGAAAGUGGAGCAAUCCAUGAGUAAAGUGGCGCACGGGUGAGUAACACGUGACUAACCUACCCUCGAGUGGGGAAUAACUUCGGGAAACCGAGGCUAAUACCGCAUAAAACCUAAGGGUCAAAGGAGCAAUCCGUUUGAGGAGGGGGUCGCGGCAGAUUAGUUAGUUGGCGGGGUAAUGGCCCACCAAGACGAUGAUCUGUAUCCGGCCUGAGAGGGCGCACGGACACACUGGAACUGAAACACGGUCCAGACUCCUACGGGAGGCAGCAGUGGGGAAUUUGCGCAAUGGGGGAAACCCUGACGCAGCAACGCCGCGUGGAGGAUGAAAUCCCUUGGGAUGUAAACUCCUUUCGAUCGGGAAGAUAAUGACGGUACCGGAAGAAGAACGCCCGGCUAACUUCGCGCCAGCAGCCGC
rnacentral:rRNA from 1 species